rnacentral:tRNA from 1 species
GCAGACGUAGCUCAGUUGGUAAGAGCACCGCGCCGGGAGGUAUGUCGCAGGUUCAAAUCCUGCCGUCUGCGCCA